AACCCAUUCAAAAUUACGACCCGACAUCAGCCAAGUGCUGAAUACGGAUUCCGAUCAAAAUCGGAUCUAUUUGCGCGCACAUUCCUAGGGUUAGGGUUUUAGAUUUCGCAAUGGAAACCAGGAAAUUCCAAGUAAAAGACCUCCUCAAAGACAAAAAGUUCUGGUUCGCCUCUAUCCUAAUCGCAUGGGCCGCUGGUCUCCAGGGGCAUAUGAUGUGGUUACAGAGGCAGGAUUCCUUCAAGCAGAAAUUCGGAAAUGUAAACAAUGAAGGGGCUGAGAAUCAGUGAUCAAGUGGAGAACCCUAUAAGGAAUUUGAGAUUUGACUGUAAAAAGAAGAUGAACAAACAUCAACGGGGUGCAUCUUUAUGCUAGUUUUUAUACGUUUUUUGAAUCAUUCAUUGAAGUGAAUAAAGUUGUGCUACGAAUUAGUGAGGAUUAUGCAGCUGUGGGAUUGCUUUACUUCUUGAUUCACUAAUGAAUUGGUGCAACAUACAGCUUGUGUGUGUGUUUAUUUUAUUUUUCUGUGGUCAAAUUAACUUCUGCUUGUGCUAGAAUUCUGCAGCCUGCUGAUGGAUGUAGAAUAAUAUAGUCUGAAUUGUUUUGUUGAUAACUCUAAUCUCUUCUUCAAUGCUUAGAAAAAGUUGAGAAUUCUUGUACUUGCUCUUGUUAAUUUGCCUAUUGUGCUACUUUGUACACAGAUUCUACAUUGGCUGAAUUGUCAAUCUGGCUCUUACGGUUUUCAUGCAUUGACAAUUUUGCCUUAACAAUUAACACUUUUUGCCCAUUUUUCCAAAGUUUAAUCAGUUGCAGUUAAUUCUCUCAAUCCAUCAUUCCAUAAUCUCCCCUAUCUAUAUGUAUUUUGCUCAGCCCUGGGGCAUAGCUCAGUGGUGAAAGCUUGAGUGUGGCUGUUGUGGCCAGCAAAUGCCUGGGUUCGAAUCCCGCAAGGGGUAAGAUCUUGGGAAAUAAGCAAGCACUCAGAUCACUGCGCCAUUGAGGCACAUCUCGUAAAUUAUCUCCUCUCACAAGGUCCCUAGGGCAGGGGAUGUGAGGAGCCCUUAGGUUUGAGGUUCAAAGCCUGAGUGUGGCUGUGGUGGCCAGCAAAUGUCCGGGUUUGAACCCUGCAAGGGGUAAGAUCCGGGGAAAUAAGCAGGCACUCGGAUCACUAUGUCACUGAGGAACAUCCCACGAUUUACCUCUUCUCACAAGGUCCUCAGGUCAGGGGACGUGAGGUUCCCUUAGGUUGGCAGUUUGGGGUUUAAAUUUAUGUAUUGUGUUCAAUUUUAACCCUGAACCAAUGUCAAAUUGGCAUUUUGGCCAAAUUUUUUUUUACCAAGAUUUCCAAAACUUGGGCCAAAAAAGCUUCAGUUUAGUUAUUCUGUUAACCUUAUCAUCAAUCAGAAUUGAUUCUUUCAGCUAUGUAACUUACAACAUGCCUACUUAAAUAGAUAACAAAAGCCAAGUUCAUCAUAUUCACUCUUCAGUUGAUAUAUUGGAGAUCAACAGUGGCAGUGAAGCAUGGAUGACAGAGGAAAGCCACAAACAAAAUCGGGCUGUGAAUUUCAUAUGACGAUAGGCCUGAAUUGGGUGGAAAUCUAAGUGUGAAGGUGGUUAGAAAUUGAUGGUGAUGAGGGCUAGUAAUAGAUCUUUGCUUCCUAGUGUUCAGGUGUGAUUGAGAUGGUGAUCUCACCACUUUGGUGAAGAACGGUCUGUGAAAGCUUGUGUGUGCUGAUAAUGGUGGCUCCAAUGGACUAAAUUUGUGCCAAAAUUAGCAAAAGUUAAAAUGGAUAACCCAAAAUUUUCAGCACCUGACAAAUAACAUGUUCACCUUGUAAGGUGGA